rnacentral:rRNA from 1 species
CAGUAGCCGCGGUAAUACGAAAGGUCCAAGCGUUACUCGGAAUUACUAGGCGUAAAGCGCGCGUAGGCGGUUUUGUAUGUCGAUUGUGAAAGCCCCGGGCUCAACCUGGGAACUGCAGUCGAAACUGCAAGACUUGAAUGUUGGAGAGGUUGGGGGAAUACCUAGUGGAGAAGUGAAAUUCGUAGAGAUUAGGUGGAACACCAGAGGCGAAGGCGCCUGACUGGCCAAACAUUGACGCUAAGGCGCGAAAGCGUGGGUAGCAAACAGGAUUAGAUACCCCAGUAGUCCCUGUCUCUUAUAC